UACGGAGGAUGCGAGCGUUAUCCGGAUUUAUUGGGUUUAAAGGGUGCGUUGGCGGAUUAAUAAGUCAGUGGUGAAAUCCUGCAGCUUAACUGUGGAACUGCCAUUGAUACUGUUAGUCUUGAGUAUGGUCAAGGUAGGCGGAAUGUGUAAUGUAGCGGUGAAAUGCUUAGAUAUUACACAGAACACCGAUUGCGAAGGCAGCUUACUGGGCCAUUACUGACGCUGAUGCACGAAAGCGUGGGGAUCGAACAGGA
rnacentral:rRNA from 1 species